AUUGAACGCUGGCGGCAUGCCUAACACAUGCAAGUCGAACGGCAGCACGGCAGUAGCAAUACUGUGGGUGGCGAGUGGCGGACGGGUGAGGAAUACGUCGGAAUCUGCCCAGUCGUGGGGGAUAACUAGCCGAAAGGUUAGCUAAUACCGCAUACGACCGAGAGGUGAAAGCGGGGGACCGCAAGGCCUCGCGCGAUUGGAUGAGCCGAGUCGGAUUAGCUAGUUGGUGGGGUAAAGGCCCACCAAGGCGACGAUCCGUAGCUGGUCUGAGAGGAUGAUCAGCCACACUGGAACUGAGACACGGUCCAGACUCCUACGGAGGCAGCAGUGGGGAAUAUUGGACAAUGGGCGCAAGCCUGAUCCAGCAAUGCCGCGUGUGUG
rnacentral:rRNA from 1 species